UACAGAGGUCUCAAGCGUUGUUCGGAUUCAUUGGGCGUAAAGGGUGCGUAGGUGGCGGGGUAAGUCAGGUGUGAAAUCUCGGGGCUCAACCCCGAAACUGCACUUGAUACUGCCUUGCUCGAGUACUGGAGAGGAGAUUGGAAUUUACGGUGUAGCAGUGAAAUGCGUAGAUAUCAGGAGGAACACCGGUGGCGAAGGCGGUGAUCUGGGCCGACACUGACGCUGUAGAGCGAAAGCGUGGGGAGCGAACAGG
rnacentral:rRNA from 1 species